GGCAAAUCGGAACGACCAGCUCCUGCUGAACUCCCCCAGGACCGGAAGGUAGCAAGGGUAGGCGGUUGUAGCGGUGCGAUUCUCGGUUUGCCACU
rnacentral:SRP_RNA from 1 species